AUGUGUUCGUCCAUGUCCCACAGUAGUUCAACACUACCUUCAUGCACCACACGGCCAAUCAGAUGCCAUCCUCCUGUUCCUGAAACCAGAAAGAAAAUGGAGUGUUUGUGUGAUCCAUCAAACAUACUACCUCGUAACCCAACCAACUUUGUCAUCAAGGGCCGCAUAUUUGUUCUCCAGCCUAGGAGUUUUUUUUUGUCGUCUAGGUCCACGAGGUCUGAUUCUGGGCUAAGUUCAACAGAAUCCAAUAAAUCUGCAAAUCUUCCACUCGGGUCGUCCUCGGUAACCUCUCGUAGCAUGCCUAACCUCCCGACUCGUUCUCAAAAACAGCAGAAUCGGGAUAAACAACCAUCCCCCACGCCCCUCCCAAGCACACAGAUCCGCUACUUGACCCCAAAUUCAUCGACAUGCUAUGGAGGGCGGUGGAGAUGGGGGGAGCUGAUUAGAGGUCGACAUCACUCUGAUGCGAUAAUCCUCCUUUUCUAA
rnacentral:rRNA from 1 species